rnacentral:rRNA from 1 species
UACGAAGGGGGCUAGCGUUGUUCGGAAUUACUGGGCGUAAAGCGAACGUAGGCGGUGUUCCAUGUCAGAGGUGAAAGCCUGGGGCUCAACUCCAGAAUUGCCUUUGAAACGGGGACGCUUGAGUCCGAGAGAGGAUGGCGGAAUUCCUAGUGUAGAGGUGAAAUUCGUAGAUAUUAGGAAGAACACCAGUGGCGAAGGCGGGUCUCUGGGCCGAUACUGACGCUGAGGAGCGAAAGCGUGGGGAGCGAACAGG